rnacentral:rRNA from 1 species
UACGUAGGGGGCAAGCGUUGUCCGGAAUUAUUGGGCGUAAAGAGCGCGUAGGCGGUCCGAUAAGUCGGCUGUGAAAGUCCAGGGCUCAACCCUGGAAAGCCGGCCGAUACUGUCGGACUAGAGUCCGGAAGAGGCAAGUGGAAUUCCCGGUGUAGCGGUGAAAUGCGUAGAGAUCGGGAGGAACACCAACGGCGAAAGCAGGUUACUGGACCAAUACUGACGCUGAGAUGCGAAAGCUAGGGGAGCAAACAGG